rnacentral:rRNA from 1 species
GAUGAACGCUGACAGAAUGCUUAACACAUGCAAGUCAACUUGAAUUUGGGUUUUUAACUUAGAUUUGGGUGGCGGACGGGUGAGUAACGCGUAAAGAACUUGCCUCACAGCUAGGGACAACAUUUAGAAAUGAAUGCUAAUACCUGAUAUUAUGAUUUUAAGGCAUCUUAGAAUUAUGAAAGCUAUAAGCACUGUGAGAGAGCUUUGCGUCCCAUUAGCUAGUUGGAGAGAUAACAGCUCACCAAGGCGAUGAUGGGUAGCCGGCCUGAGAGGGUGAACGGCCACAAGGGGACUGAGACACGGCCCUUACUCCUACGGGAGGCAGCAGUGGGGAAUAUUGGACAAUGGACCGAGAGUCUGAUCCAGCAAUUCUGUGUGCACGAUGAAGUUUUUCGGAAUGUAAAGUGCUUUCAGUUGGGAAGAAAAAAAUGACGGUACCAACAGAAGAAGUGACGGCUAAAUACGUGCCAGCAGCCGCGGUAAUACGUAUGUCACGAGCGUUAUCCGGAUUUAUUGGGCGUAAAGCGCGUCUAGGUGGUUAUGUAAGUCUGAUGUGAAAAUGCAGGGCUCAACUCUGUAUUGCGUUGGAAACUGUAUAACUAGAGUACUGGAGAGGUAAGCGGAACUACAAGUGUAGAGGUGAAAUUCGUAGAUAUUUGUAGGAAUGCCGAUGGGGAAGCCAGCUUACUGGACAG